UACGGGGGGAGCAAGCGUUGUUCGGAUUUACUGGGCGUAAAGGGCGCGUAGGCGGCCACCGCAAGUCAGUUGUGAAAUCUCUGGGCUUAACCCAGAACGGUCAGCUGAUACUGCGGGGCUAGAGUGCAGAAGGGGCAACUGGAAUUCUCGGUGUAGCGGUGAAAUGCGUAGAUAUCGAGAGGAACACCUGCGGCGAAGGCGGGUUGCUGGGCUGACACUGACGCUGAUGUGCGAAAGCCAGGGGAGCGAACGGG
rnacentral:rRNA from 1 species